CAGAGGGGGCAAGCGUUAUUCGGAAUUAUUGGGCGUAAAGGGCGCGUAGGCGGCUUGGCAAGUGGAAGGUGAAAUCCCUCGGCUUAACCGAGGAACUGCCCUCCAAACUGCUUUGCUUGAGGCCGGGAGAGGCGAGUGGAAUUCCCAGUGUAGCGGUGAAACGCGUAGAUAUUGGGAGGAACACCAGUGGCGAAGGCGGCUCGCUGGACCGGUUCUGACGCUGAGGCGCGAAAGCGUGGAGAGCAAACGGGAUUAGAUACCCCGGUAGUCCACGCUGUAAACGAUGAGUGCUUGGUGUAGCGGGUAUCGACCCCUGCUGUGCCGAAGUCAACACAUUAAGCACUCCGCCUGGGGAGUACGGUCGCAAGGCUG
rnacentral:rRNA from 1 species